rnacentral:snRNA from 1 species
AUCACUUCUUGGCCUUUUGGCUGAGAUCAACUGUAAUAUCUGAUCUUAAUCCAUUUAAAAUGGCCAGCCAGCCUGGCUUGCUAGAACCUGGCUCUUAUUCCUGAGGACCAGCU